CUCCGCCUUCCCAAGAGCCCCUGCGGCCGGGCGCGAAGAUGGCGGCGGCGGCGACGGCCGGGCGCUCCUGAAGCAGCAGUUAUGGAGCUUCCCUCAGGGCCGGGGCCGGAGCGGCUCUUUGACUCGCACCGGCUCCCGGGUGACUGCUUCCUCCUGCUCGCGCUGCUGCUCUACGCGCCAGUCGGGUUCUGCCUCCUCGUCCUGCGCCUCUUUCUCGGGAUCCACGUCUUCCUGGUCAGCUGCGCGCUGCCAGACAGCGUCCUUCGCAGAUUCGUAGUGCGGACCAUGUGUGCGGUGCUAGGGCUCGUGGCCCGGCAGGAGGACUCCGGACUCCGGGAUCACAGUGUCAGGGUCCUCAUUUCCAACCAUGUGACACCUUUCGACCACAACAUAGUCAAUUUGCUUACCACCUGUAGCACCCCUCUACUCAAUAGUCCCCCCAGCUUUGUGUGCUGGUCUCGGGGCUUCAUGGAGAUGAAUGGGCGGGGGGAGUUGGUGGAGUCACUCAAGAGAUUCUGUGCUUCCACGAGGCUUCCCCCCACUCCUCUGCUGCUAUUCCCUGAGGAAGAGGCCACCAAUGGCCGGGAGGGGCUCCUGCGCUUCAGUUCCUGGCCAUUUUCUAUCCAAGAUGUGGUACAACCUCUUACCCUGCAAGUUCAGAGACCCCUGGUCUCUGUGACGGUGUCAGAUGCCUCCUGGGUCUCAGAACUGCUGUGGUCACUUUUCGUCCCUUUCACGGUGUAUCAAGUAAGGUGGCUUCGUCCUGUUCAUCGCCAACUAGGGGAAGCGAAUGAGGAGUUUGCACUCCGUGUACAACAGCUGGUGGCCAAGGAAUUGGGCCAGACAGGGACACGGCUCACUCCAGCUGACAAAGCAGAGCACAUGAAGCGACAAAGACACCCCAGAUUGCGCCCCCAGUCAGCCCAGUCUUCUUUCCCUCCCUCCCCUGGUCCUUCUCCUGAUGUGCAACUGGCAACUCUGGCUCAGAGAGUCAAGGAAGUUUUGCCCCAUGUGCCAUUGGGUGUCAUCCAGAGAGACCUGGCCAAGACUGGCUGUGUAGACUUGACUAUCACUAAUCUGCUUGAGGGGGCCGUAGCUUUCAUGCCUGAAGACAUCACCAAGGGAACUCAGUCCCUACCCACAGCCUCUGCCUCCAAGGUGAGACCCAGGAAAUGGUCAGAUCCAAGUCUUGGGGCAUUCGAUGCGUGUUUAAUGAUGAUGACUCCGCAAGCCCUCUGACAUUGUGAUCACCUCAGUUUCCCAGCUCUGGCCCGGUGACCCCUCAGCCAACAGCCCUAACAUUUGCCAAGUCUUCCUGGGCCCGGCAGGAGAGCCUGCAGGAGCGCAAGCAAGCACUAUAUGAAUACGCAAGAAGGAGAUUCACAGAGAGACGAGCCCAGGAGGCUGACUGAGCUCAAAGGAACAGGAUGGCACCCAGAGCCGCAGGACGGAGACUGGGGGCAGCCCUCACCCAACUCACAACAGGCUGGAUGGGUGGGUGGUAAAAAGGGAAGGAUGAGGCUCCCCCAAUGUCACAUUAAAUUCAUGGUUUUCAUUCAA